GUUUGAUUAUGGCUCACGACGAACGCUGGCGGCGUGCCUAACACAUGCCUUUCGAGCGGGAUCCAUCCCGUAGCAAUACUGGUGAAGAUCUAGCGGCGAACGGGUGAGUAACACGUGAGAAACCUGCCCCGAACUCUGGGAUAACACGAGGAAACCCGUGCUAAUUCCGGAUACCUUCUUUUGGCCGCAUGGUCAGAUGAAGAAAGAUUUAUCGGUUUGGGAGGGUCUCGCGGCCUAUCAGCUAGUUGGCGGGGUAAUGGCCCACCAAGGCAUCGACGGGUAGCUGGUCUGAGAGGACGAUCAGCCACACUGGGACUGAGACACGGCCCAGACUCCUACGGGAGGCAGCAGUGGGGAAUCUUGCGCAAUGGGCGAAAGCCUGACGCAGCAACGCCCCGUGCGGGAUGAAGGCCUUCGGGUUGUAAACCGCUUUCAGCAGGGAAGAAAAUGACGGUACCUGCAGAAGAAGCCCCGGCCAACUACCUGCCAGCACCCGCGGUAACACGUAGGGGGCGAGCGUUGUCCGGAUUUAU
rnacentral:rRNA from 1 species